GAAUUCGCCCUUAGAGUUUGAUCCUGGCUCAGGACGAACGCUGGCGGCGUGCUUAACACAUGCAAGUCGAACGGGGUUAAUGUUUUCGGAUAUUAACUUAGUGGCGAACGGGUGAGUAACGCGUGAGGAACCUGCCUUUCAGUGGGGGACAACAGUUGGAAACGACUGCUAAUACCGCAUGAUACUAUUGAGGGACAUCCCUUGAUAGUCAAAGCUUUAUGUGCUGAAAGAUGGCCUCGCGUCUGAUUAGCUAGUUGGAGGGGUAACGGCCCACCAAGGCGACGAUCAGUAGCCGGACUGAGAGGUUGACCGGCCACAUUGGGACUGAGAUACGGCCCAGACUCCUACGGGAGGCAGCAGUGGGGAAUAUUGGGCAAUGGGCGCAAGCCUGACCCAGCAACGCCGCGUGAAGGAAGAAGGCUUUCGGGUUGUAAACUUCUUUUAGCAGGGACGAAGAACGUGACGGUACCUGCAGAAAAAGCAACGGCUAACUACGUGCCAGCAGCCGCGGUAAUACGUAGGUUGCAAGCGUUGUCCGGAAUUACUGGGUGUAAAGGGCGUGUAGGCGGAGAUGCAAGUUGGGAGUGAAAUCCAUGGGCUCAACCCAUGAACUGCUUUCAAAACUGCAUCCCUUGAGUAUCGGAGAGGCAAGCGGAAUUCCUAGUGUAGCGGUGAAAUGCGUAGAUAUUAGGAGGAACACCAGUGGCGAAGGCGGCUUGCUGGACGACAACUGACGCUGAGGCGCGAAAGCGUGGGGAGCAAACAGGAUUAGAUACCCUGGUAGUCCACGCUGUAAACGAUGAAUACUAGGUGUGGGAGGACUGACCCCUUCCGUGCCGCAGUUAACACAAUAAGUAUUCCACCUGGGGAGUACGACCGCAAGGUUGAAACUCAAAGGAAUUGACGGGGGCCCGCACAAGCAGUGGAUUAUGUGGUUUAAUUCGACGCAACGCGAAGAACCUUACCAGGAUUUGACAUCCAACUAACGAAGCAGAGAUGCAUUAGGUGCCCUUCGGGGAAAGUUGAGACAGGUGGUGCAUGGUUGUCGUCAGCUCGUGUCGUGAGAUGUUGGGUUAAGUCCCGCAACGAGCGCAACCCCUAUCUUCAGUAGCCAGCGGUUUGGCCGGGCACUCUGGAGAGACUGCCAGGGAUAACCUGGAGGAAGGUGGGGAUGACGUCAAAUCAUCAUGCCCCUUAUGACUUGGGCUACACACGUGCUACAAUGGCGUAAACAAAGGGAAGCGAGCCUGUGAGGGGGAGCAAAUCCCAAAAAUAACGUCUCAGUUCGGAUUGUAGUCUGCAACUCGACUACAUGAAGCUGGAAUCGCUAGUAAUCGCGAAUCAGCAUGUCGCGGUGAAUACGUUCCCGGGUCUUGCACACACCGCCCGUCA
rnacentral:rRNA from 1 species